CCACACCAAAAAAACUUUCCACGUGAACCGUUGAAAAUGUGUUCUGUGCUCCUCUCGGGGAGCUGAACGAAGGUGAGCUGCUGUUAUGGUGGUUUGCCGAUGUACAUUUCAAACCCAUUACUUUAAUACUGAACUAUACUCCAAAAACGAAAGUCUUUGGUUUUAAUCAAUAACAACUUUCAGCAGUGGAUGUCUAGGCUCGCACAUCGAUGAAGAGCGCUGCGAACUGCGAUACGUAAUGCGAAUUGCAGAAUUCAGUGAGUCAUCGAAAUCUUGAACGCACAUUGCACUUUCGGGUUAUGCCUGGAAGUAUGCCUGUAUCAGUGUCCGUACAACAAACUUGCCUCUUUUUUUCUGUGUAGUCAGGAAGAGAGAUGGCAGAAAGUGAGAUGUCUCGUUGACUCCCUCUUCGGAGGAGAAGACGCGAGUCUCUUUAAACGUACGUUCGCUCUUUCUUGUGUUCGUGUAGAAGUGUGGCUUGCGAACGCAGUGAUCUGUUUGGAUCGCUUUGCGCUUUCGGGCGACUUCGGUUAGGACAUUAAAGGAAGCAACCUCUAUUGGCGGUAUGUUAGGCUUCGGCCCGACUUUGCAGCUUGACGGAGUGUGGUUUUCUGUUCUUUCCUUGAGGUGUACCUGAAAAUAGUGUGAGGCAAUGGUCUGGGCAAAUGGUUGCUGUGUAGUAGUAGGUCGCUGCUCUCGGACGCUCUUGCUUCGGUGAGAGUAAAGGAGGCAACACCAAUUUGGGACCGUGAUGCUGGGUUUUACUCAGUAUUGCAUUCUUUCAAUUGGACCUGAUAUCAGGUAAGAUUACCCGCUGAACUUAAG
rnacentral:rRNA from 1 species